UUGACGGUACCCUACUAGAAAGGAGCCGCUAACUUCGUGCCAGAAGCGUCGGUAAUACGGGGGCUCCAAGCGUUAUCCGGUGUUAUUGGGCGUAAAGAGUCGUGUAGGUGGUUGGGUAAGUUAUCUUUCAAAUAUCUUUGCUUAACAAAGAGGAGGGGGAUAAUACUGCUCGACUAGAAUUUUCUCAAGGGAGAUCGGAACUGAGGGAGGAGUAGUGAAAUGCGUUGAUACCCUCGGGAACACCAGUGGCGUAGGCGGAUCUCUGGGAGAAGAUUGACACUGAGACACGAAAGCUAGGGGAGCGAAGCAGAUUAGAGACCUGCGUAGUCCUAGCCGUAAACGCAUGCUUGCUAGCUGCAUGAAUCUACCUUCGGGUGGUAUCGUGUGGCGAAGGUAACCCGUUAAGCAAGCCGCCUGGAAAGUACGGCCGCAAGGCUGAAAUUCAAAGGAAUUGGCGGGGAGGCACACAACCAGUGGAACAUGUGGUUUAAUUCGAGACUAACCGAAGAACCUCACCAGGGUUUGACAUGUAGCUGCACGUCUUAAGAAAUUAAGACUCUCUUGAAGGUGCUACACAGGUGCUGCAUGGCUGUCGUCAGCUCGUUCCGUGAGGAGUGCCCUUAAGUGGGACAACGAGCGCAACCCCUAUUACAUGUUAGAAAUGUCAUGUAAGACUGCCUUGCCAUUUGGCGGGGAGGAAGGAGAGGCAGACGUCAAGUCCGCAUGGUCCUUAUGCCCUGGGCUACACACAUGUUACAAUGAGUACGGCAAUGAGUCUGUCGCGAGCACGUAAGUGUAAGCUAAUCUCUUAAAUGUACUCUCAGUGGGGAUUGAGGUCUGCAACUCGACCUCAUGAACACGGAAUUGGUAGUAAUCGCGGGUCAGCUAUACCGCGGUGAUACGUUCUUGCCUCUUGCACACACCGCCCGUCAAACCAGCAAAGU
rnacentral:rRNA from 1 species